UGUUGCCACUGACGUUCGUGGCGCAGAAACGUGAAAUAUUAGUUUUAAUAACUCUUGGUGGUACAGGCGAACGCUGUGGUCGCCAAUGUCAAUCUACCAAUAGCAUAGUACAAUACUGACAUACGAAUAUUACAAGCCAAUCAGAUUUGGCUAUACGAAUCAGCUGUUGGACAACAACACACGAACAUUUUUAGCCACCGACAUGGCUACCAGAGUAUGGACAUCGCCGAAGAGGAUUGAUUUUGUGGAGUGUACAAGUGCCAGUACAGCCUCUGGAGCUGGUGGCAGUGACAUCCACUCCACUUCGUAGCCAUCUCCAGCCAUUUUCCACCCAUGGUUCACUGGAGGUGGAAUAUCCGGCAUACACUCAAGGCUUCGGCGGUGUACUGCAGCCUGAUAACUUGCACGCUGAAUAUGUUUGUGCAAGCAGUCUUUAUUUGGAGGUGACAUGUGAAGACCUCCAGUGCUUCACAAAGGUCUGAAGAUGGGGUGAAGCUAGCUCCUAGGUCUUGGAACAG